rnacentral:lncRNA from 1 species
UUGAGGGAUAUUAAGGGAACAGCCCUGGCUGGGACGAGUUGGGCGGGGGGGCGCUAGAGAGAGAGGGACUUCUUUCUCCAAGUUAGCUCACUCCUCAAAAAUGCAGGUGUCAGAAAGUUUUCGGGUAGGCGCGCCUCCGGGGGACAGCUCCCAGUCUGACCUAGGCAGAAAAGUGGUGAGAACUCACAGCUGGGAAGCAUCAAGAAAUCAGAUUUGA